AUCCACUGACGAGUCCGAAAUAGGACGAAACGAUCGUCUCGGAU
rnacentral:hammerhead_ribozyme from 1 species